UGGGGCGUAGCCAAGCGGAAAGGCAACGGACUUUGGCUCCGUCAUCGGAGGUUCGAAUCCUCCCGCCCCAG
rfam:Candidatus Aminicenantes bacterium RBG_16_66_30 RBG_16_scaffold_1065, whole genome shotgun sequence.